rnacentral:rRNA from 1 species
UACGGAGGGUGCUAGCGUUGUUCGGAAUCACUGGGCGUAAAGGGCGUGUAGGCGGCCUGUUAAGUCUGAUGUGAAAUCCCCUCGCUCAACGAGGGAACUGCGUCGGAUACUGACAGACUCGAGUACCGGAGAGGAAGGUGGAAUUCCCGGUGUAGCGGUGAAAUGCGUAGAUAUCUGGAGGAACACAGGUGGCGAAGGCGGCGUUCUGGACUGCAACUGACACUGAGGAACGAAAGCCAGGGGAGCAAACGGG